UAAGCCCUCCAUUUGUCUCAAAAAAUUUGUCUUAGAUUUAUCUAGAUAUGAAUGUAUCUAGUGACGGUUUAAUAUUUAGAUACAUCCAUGUCUAGACAAACCUAAGACAAGAAUUUUAAGACAGAGGAGGCAGUA
rfam:Hordeum vulgare subsp. vulgare, WGS project CAJW01000000 data, contig: morex_contig_44643